rnacentral:rRNA from 1 species
GACGGAGGGUGCAAGCGUUAUUCGGAAUUAUUGGGCGUAAAGGGUACGUAGGCGGCUGGUCAAGUCGGGUGUGAAAGCCCUCAGCUCAACCGUGGGACGGCCCUGGAAACUAACGGGCUAGAGUGAGGUAGAGGUGUCGGGAAUUCACGGUGUAGCGGUGAAAUGCGUAGAUAUCGUGAAGAACACCGGUGGCGAAAGCGGCCCACUGGGUCUCGUCUGACGCUGAUGCACGAAAGCUAGGGGAGCGAACGGG